rnacentral:lncRNA from 1 species
GUGGUAACUGUGUUAUAAAGAUAUGGAAGUAAAACCUUUAUUUAAGAUUGCUUCAGCAAGAAUGUCUUUCCCUCCUCACUUGAAUCGACCUCCGAUGGGAAUCCCUGCUCUCCCGCCAGGGAUUCCACCUCCACAGUUUCCCGGCUUCCCUCCCCCCGUGCCUCCAGGUAAGUCUGACGUGUUUUAUGGCUAUUGGAUAUUGUGGAACCGUGGAAAAUUCCUCCUCUCCCCCCACCCCAGGGAAAAUCGAAGGCAUUUGGAGUUUACGGGCGGCCGUUAUUGCAGGAGUCUCCUCGGAAUCUGUCAAGAAACAGCUUGAUCCAGCGGAUGGAGCACGGGGCUGCGAGUCAGAGGACCUGGGUUCUGAUCCCGACUCCCCCACGCGUCUGCUGGGUGUCCUUCACUUCACUUCUGGGCCUCAGUUCCCUCUACUGUAAAAUGGAGGUUGAGAAAGUGAGCCCCGGGUACGACAGGCACCGGGUCCAAUCCUACAACCUCAUGUCUACCUCAGCGGUUAAUAGUAAUAAUAAUAAUUAUGGUAUCUGUUGAGCGCUUCCUAUGUGCCAGGCACUGUACUAAGCACUGGAGUGGCUAGAAUCAGAUCGGGUUGGACCCAGUCCCUGUCCCCCGUGGGCCUCACAGUCUCAAUCCCCAUUUUACAGAGGAGGUAACUGAAGCACGGAGAAGUAAAGUGACUUGCCCAGGGUCACACAGCAGAUGAGUGACCGAGCCAGGAUUAGAACCCAGGCCCGUGCUCUAUCCACUUGGUCACGCUGCUUCUGCGCGAGAUGCGUCGCUCAUCCAGGGGUGGGAAAAGUGUUUUUGAUGUUCGUUUUUCUCACUCCUGGCCGUGAGCAAUAUCAUGCCGUAGAACGUGUCGAUUGGCUACCGAUGCCUUUAUUCCCCCAGUAAGACCGGCCCGAUGGUCGGUAAGCGCUUAGUACAGUGCUCUGCACACAGUAAGCGCUCAAUAAAUACGAUUGAAUGAAUCUGGUAUGUUUUCCCCUCCCUCUCUGCUCUCCGGCCCUGGUCAAAUCUUGAAGGGAUUUAGACCAGAUGUAGCCAGAGCCAGCUAAUUAGGGAGUCAAUCCCUUGCCACGUGACUGUUUAUUGUUGUAUUCUCCCAAGCGCUCAGUACAGUGCUUUACACGCAGCGAGCGUUCAAUAAAUGGAAUCGAAAAUCGAAUUGAGUUGCUCUCUCUGCACACUGAGGCCUUAGGGGGCAUACAAGCUUAGCAGAUCAGAAAUCCGCCUGGGGCUCCCAAUUUAAAUGGGAGAAGAUAAUGAAACAAUGGUCUUUUAUCGAGUGCUCACUCUGUGCAGAGCGCUGUUCUGAGCACUGGGAGAGGACAGUACAACAGAAUCAGCAGACACGUUCCUGGCUUAGGAGUUUACAGUCUAGAAAGGCAUGUAAAUGAACAGUGCCGGGAGGAGGGAGUCUUAUUUUUAUUUUUAAGGGUAUUCAUUAAGGCGCUUACUGGGUGCCAGGCACUGUACUAAGCACUGGGGUAGAUAAAAGCUAGGCAUGUUGGGCACAGUCCCUGUCCCACGUGGAGCUCACCCUCCCAUCCCCAUUUUCCAGAUGUGGUCACCGAGGCACAGGGAAGUGAAGCAACUUGCCGACCUAACUUGCCUCCGACUGGUGACGCUCUUUGCUCCGGGAAGACAGCUUCUAGUCGCACCCCGGUGCUGUCUCACGAGUUGUUGAGGGUGUAGAGAUGGUCUCUGGGGGGGAUGUUGGCUGUUACAGAACCCCUCGCGCUAAGUGGGGAACGGGCCCCGUGAGACUCAGCUCUUGCCCCAGUUCAUUCAUUCGGUCGAUAAAUCCUGAGCGCUUGGGAGAGGACAGUACAAUAAUAUAGACAUUUUUCCCGCCCACAACAAGCUCUCAGUCCACAGGGAGCUCAAUUCCUCCAGGAAAGCGGCUCCCGAGGAUGACUAGGGCCUCCAGAGAGCUUAUGGAGCGCUUACUGUGUGCAGAGCACUGGACUAAACGCUCGGAAGAGGACAGCGUAGCAAUAAACAGACACAUCCCCUGCCCGCAACGAAUUCAGGGCAGCAAAAAAUAAUAUUAUGGUACUGGUUAAGCACUCACUAUGUGCCGAUCAGUGUUCUUAAGCACUGGGGCAAGGUAGAUACAAGUUAAUCGGGUUGGACACAGCCCCCAUCCCACCUGGGGCUCACACUCUUAUCCCCAUUUUACAGAUGAGGGAACUGAGGCCCAGAGAAGGUCAAACAGCAGGCAUGUGGCGGAGCCGGGUUUAGGACCCAGGUCCUUCUGACUCCCAGGCCAUGCUG